rnacentral:rRNA from 1 species
CGCAGCCGCGGUAAUUCCAGCUCCAAUAGCGUAUAUUAAAGUUGUUGCAGUUAAAAAGCUCGUAGUUGAAUUUCGGGGUUAGUGGGUUGGUCAUGCCUCUGGUAUGUACUGGUCUCACUGAUUCCUCCUUCCUGAUGAACCUUAAUGCCAUUAAUUUGGUGUUUUGGGGAAUUUGGACUGUUACUUUGAAAAAAUUGAGUGUUUAAAAGCAAGCUAACGCUUGAAUACAUUAGCAUGGAAUAAUGAAAUAGGACGUUCGAUCCUAUUUUGUUGGUUUCUAGGAUUGACGUAAUGAUUAAUAGGGAUAGUUGGGGGCAUUAGUAUUCAAUUGUCAGAGGUGAAAUUCUUGGAUUUAUUGAAGACUAACUACUGCGAAAGCAUUUGCCAAGGAUGUUUUCAUUAAUCUAAGAACGAAAGUUAGGAGAUCGAAGACGAUCAGAUACCGUCGUA